rnacentral:rRNA from 1 species
UACAGAGGGUGCAAGCGUUAAUCGGAAUUACUGGGCGUAAAGCGCACGUAGGCGGCUUGGUAAGUUGGAUGUGAAAUCCCCGGGCUUAACUUGGGAAUUGCAUUCAAGACUGCCUUGCUAGAGUGUUGGAGAGGAAAGCGGAAUUCCAGGUGUAGCGGUGAAAUGCGUAGAUAUCUGGAGGAACACCGGUGGCGAAGGCGGCAUCCUGGACCGGUAUUGACGCUGAGGCGCGAAAGCCAGGGGAGCAAACGGG